UUGCAUGUUGGAUUGUGAACACUUGAGUAACACUUUCAAACUUUAUUACUGUUCUGCUGUAUGUUAAAUUAAUCUCUUGUCAGUCUUAGGAGGAGGAGGUUUUGUGUACUGACAUUUUCCUUUUAAAGGCAAAAUGAAACAUUAAAUUAAUUAGAAAUUGGUGUAGCAAAAUCCAUUCAACCACAUUCAGGAGAGAAUCCUCUUUGGUGGGUGAAUUUUUCAGGCCAUUCUGGUUUAGGAAAUGACUACCUGUCUGUUUUGCCAUGACAGCGUGGUCUGUCCUGACUGGGCAUUAAAAAAGAGAAGACAGGACUUGACAAACAAAUUACCUUACGGUAACCAUUAGCUCUGAGGGGCAUACAGUAACUGUCCACGUAUAAGAAUGGUCAGCACCUUUUGGACUGUAAUCUGCUUUUAUUAAGGACAAAGCUAACCUUAGUUAUUCUGUACAGCUGCAAGCACACAGCUGUUCAGCACACAUCAGGAGUCUGUAGCGUUGACUUUUAGAUGUGUGUGUGGUGAUAGAAUCCAGGAAGAUCCAUUCUCAAGAGAAGGUUUUAGGGUUUCAUUUCCUAAAACGUAAUCCUAAGAUGCUACCUAGAGAGAUGUGAGGUGCCUACACUUACCUGUUCUCUGUGGUUUACUUUUAGGGAACAUCCCCCCUGAUUUUUUUUUUUCAUUUACUUAUUUGUAGAAGCAUUUAUUGUAACAUUGUGUUGAAGUACCUGUCAGUGCUCUUGGUGAGGUCUAGAGAGUUGUAUAAAUGACCUUUGC